AUUGAACGCUGGCGGCAGGCCUAACACAUGCAAGUCGAGCGGAUGAAGGGAGCUUGCUCCUGGAUUCAGCGGCGGACGGGUGAGUAAUGCCUAGGAAUCUGCCUGGUAGUGGGGGAUAACGUCCGGAAACGGGCGCUAAUACCGCAUACGUCCUGAGGGAGAAAGUGGGGGAUCUUCGGACCUCACGCUAUCAGAUGAGCCUAGGUCGGAUUAGCUAGUUGGUGGGGUAAAGGUCUACCAAGGCGACGAUCCGUAACUGGUCUGAGAGGAUGAUCAGUCACACUGGUACUGAGACACGGUCCAGACUCCUACGGGAGGCAGCAGUGGGGAAUAUUGGACAAUGGGCGAAAGCCUGAUCCAGCCAUGCCGCGUGUGUGAAGAAGGUCUUCGGAUUGUAAAGCACUUUAAGUUGGGAGGAAGGGCAGUAAGUUAAUACCUUGCUGUUUUGACGUUACCAACAGAAUAAGCACCGGCUAACUUCGUG
rnacentral:rRNA from 1 species